UACGGGGGGGGCAAGCGUUGUUCGGAACUACUGGGCGUAAAGGGCUCGUAGGUGGCCAACUAAGUCGGACGUGAAAUCCCUCGGCUUAACCGGGGAACUGCGUCCGAUACUGGAUGGCUUGAGUUUGGGAGAGGGAUGCGGAAUUCCUGGUGUAGCGGUGAAAUGCGCAGAUAUCAGGAAGAACACCCGUGGCUAAGGCGGCUCUCUAGUACGGUACUGACGCUGAGACGCGAAAGCGUGGGGAGCGAACAGG
rnacentral:rRNA from 1 species